UACGUAGGGGGCAAGCGUUGUCCGGAAUCAUUGGGCGUAAAGCGCGUGUAGGCGGCUCGGUAAGUCUGCUGUGAAAGUCCAGGGCUCAACCCUGGGAUGCCGGUGGAUACUGUCGAGCUCGAGUCCGGAAGAGGCGAGUGGAAUUCCUGGUGUAGCGGUGAAAUGCGCAGAUAUCAGGAGGAACACCGGUGGCGAAGGCGGCGACCUGGUCCGUGACUGACGCUGAGGCGCGAAAGCGUGGGGAGCAAACAAG
rnacentral:rRNA from 1 species